rnacentral:rRNA from 1 species
AGUAACACGUAAACAACCUGCCUUCAGGAUGGGGACAACAGACGGAAACGACUGCUAAUACCGAAUAAGUUCCAAGAGCCGCAUGGCCCAUGGAAGAAAAGGUGGCCUCUACCUGUAAGCUAUCGCCUGAAGAGGGGUUUGCGUCUGAUUAGCUGGUUGGAGGGGUAACGGCCCACCAAGGCGACGAUCAGUAGCCGGUCUGAGAGGUUGAACGGCCACAUUGGGACUGAGACACGGCCCAGACUCCUACGGGAGGCAGCAUG